rnacentral:rRNA from 1 species
GAUGAACGCUGGCGGCGUGCCUAAUACAUGCAAGUCGAGCGAACAGACGAGAAGCUUGCUCCUCUGACGUUAGCGGCGGACGGGUGAGUAACACGUGGAUAACCUACCUAUAAGACUGGGAUAACUUCGGGAAACCGGAGCUAAUACCGGAUAAUAUUUUGAACCGCAUGGUUCAAUAGUGAAAGACGGUUUUGCUGUCACUUAUAGAUGGAUCCGCGCCGCAUUAGCUAGUUGGUAAGGUAACGGCUUACCAAGGAACGAUUCGUAGCCGACCUGAGAGGGUGAUCGGCCACACUGGAACUGAGACACGGUCCAGAAUCCUACGGGAGGCAGCAGUAGGGAAUCUUCCGCAAUGGGCGAAAGCCUGACGGAGCAACGCCGCGUGAGUGAUGAAGGUCUUCGGAUCGUAAAACUCUGUUAUUAGGGAAGAACAAAUGUGUAAGUAACUAUGCACGUCUUGACGGUACCUAAUCAGAAAGCCACGGCUAACUACGUG